UAUGUGGAAGGAUUUGGUUGCUUGCAACCACAUUAAAAAAUGCUAAAAAUGA
rnacentral:ncRNA from 1 species